CUUAAAAUCUUAGAAAACCAACUGAAACUAAACAUAGAUACAAUUUAAGUUAACGAUUUUAACGAUAUUUCAAAGGAAUGAUUUAAUGUAGCAACAUGACCAGUACAAAAUACUUGGAUGAAUAACAUUGGAUAAUUUUAAUAAUGGUUAUAUUCUACUACAAAAUCAUACUUGAUAAUUAGCAAAAAAAGAAAGGUGAUAAGGCUAUUAGACGAUACACAGGAUGGACGUCCUUCCUUACGAGUGCGCAUAAACAACGGAACAUUCAAAGAAUAUUCAAACAGUUUAUAUGCCCCCGUAGACACGAAUAAACAUCAGGGUGUCGUAUUUGCAGAUUUAAAAAUAGUUUACAUUAUUCAGUAGCGCUUUACAAGCCAACUUAUGAACGUAACAUCAAUUGUAUAAGAUUAAAAGGAAAAAUAUUGGGAAAUAAAUGUUUUUUGUAUGAA